GCCUCUUUUUUGUUGUUUUUGGCCAAACGCCGGCCAAAAUCGUAUCUUUUCCGCUCUUUAAAUAAUGUGAUCCAAAAAACCAAAAGGGACUGUUUAGGGUAUCGUAUU
rnacentral:ribozyme from 1 species